CCUACGGGGGGCUGCAGUGAGGAAUAUUGGUCAAUGGGCGAGAGCCUGAACCAGCCAAGUCGCGUGAGGGAGUACUGCCCUAUGGGUUGUAAACCUCUUUUGUCGGGGAGCAAAAGCCGGACGUGUCCGGCUGUUAUAUUACCCGAAUAAAAAGCAUCGGCUAACUCCGUUCCAGCAGCCGCGGUAAUACGGGGGAUGCGAGGGUUAUCCGGAUUUGUUGGGUUUAAGGGGUGCGCAGGCGGAUUUUUAAGUCUGUGGUCAAAUCGUUGGGCUCAACCCCAUCCAGCCGUUGAAACUGGGGAUCUAGAGUGUGCGAGAGGUAUGCGGAAUGCGUGGUGUAGCGGUGAAAUGCAUAGAUAUCACGCAGAACCCCGAUUGCGAAGGCAGCAUACCGGUGUACAACUGACGCUCAGGCACGAAAGCGUGGGUAUCGAACAGGAUUAGAUACCCGUGUAGUC
rnacentral:rRNA from 1 species